rnacentral:rRNA from 1 species
GACGAACGCUGGCGGCGUGCUUAACACAUGCAAGUCGAACGGAAAGGCCCUGCUUUUGUGGGGUGCUCGAGUGGCGAACGGGUGAGUAACACUUGAGUAACCUGCCCUUGACUUUGGGAUAACUUCAGGAAACUGGGGCUAAUACCGGAUAGGAGCUCCUGCUGCAUGGUGGGGGUUGGAAAGUUUCGGCGGUUGGGGAUGGACUCGCGGCUUAUCAGCUUGUUGGUGGGGUAGUGGCUUACCAAGGCUUUGACGGGUAGCCGGCCUGAGAGGGUGACCGGCCACAUUGGGACUGAGAUACGGCCCAGACUCCUACGGGAGGCAGCAGUGGGGAAUAUUGCACAAUGGGCUGAAGCCUGAUGCAGCACCGCCGCGUGCGGGAUGACGGCCUUCGGGUUGUAAACCGCUUUCGCCUGUGACGAAGCGUGAGUGACGGUAAUGGGUAAAGAAGCACCGGCUAACUACGUG